ensembl:lncRNA
AGUCCACAAAGAGAGUCACCUCAAGUCGCACAGAAAACAGAAGAUGCCUCCACUAUUCCAGCACCAUUUCAACCUCAACAUUUCCACCUGAUCAAACCACCUCUGCUUAGUCUAAUACAGUUGGAACUAAAAGAUACCAAAAACUGUUGUGUCCAAUCAACGGGUGACCAUGGACACUUCAUCCACAGUCCAAACUCUGACAAAAAUGACACUGUGCGGAGGUUCUCAAUUAACAAAUCAGAGUGUGGAAGAGGGAGAGUGCAGGGUGGAGAAGUUGUGUAUGCUCCCAGAAAGCAACAACCGUGAAAUAUUUCCCAUCAGUCUUGUUUCAAUAUGUUAAUAUAUCAUACUGUAUCUAUCAGUACUGAAUAAAAA